ACUUGGCUGGCUCAGUUGGUAGAAUAUGAAACUCUUGAUCUCAGGGUUGUGGGUUCGAGCCCCACAUUGGGUG
rnacentral:tRNA from 1 species